GGCUACAGUUGGCUGUUUAUCUCCUGGCACCUCCUAUCAGCUGAGUGUGAGUUCACUUGGUCCAGGGGACACAGAGAGUCCUAGAGCAGUAACUGAGGUGAGGACAGCGGAAGAUCAAGAUCAUGCUCCUUCUGCGGUCACUGUAGUUGUCCUGGGACGACAUGAACUGCAGAUAAACUGGGGAGCUCCAGUCGCUCCUUUGGGGAGACUCUUCAAAUAUGAGCUAAGUCUAAAUGGGUGUGUGGUGUACCUGGGCACAGAAAGGUCAUACACUGCUUGUCGCCUGUCUGCUAACACAGCAUACACCUGUGUUGUGACAGCUAUCACCUCCAGGGGGCGCUGCCAGAGCAGUCCGGUCACAAAGAAGACAGCACGGGAUGAAUUCCUGCACUCACAUAGGUAUCUGCACUCUCAUAGCCACCAGUCAGCCUCAAAACACUCCACUCCUUCUUCAAGCAUCCAAGUGAUAAGUGAAGUCAAAAAGAAUGACACAGUUUCUCCAGCUACACUCAAUUCUAAGGUCCAUCCCACUAUGAUCCCGCACAGAGCCCUUGACCUUAGAAAAGACAGGCACAGGCAAACAUCAGUUCCUAAAGGGAUUCAACCUUCCAGUCACACAUCUAAGAGAUACAGACAAGGUCCAGCUGGUGUGUUUUCUGUAAGCUCUACUGACUGUCUUAC
ensembl:lncRNA